AAAAAAGGUAAGCUACUAAGAGCGAAUGGUGGAUGCCUUGACUGGUAAAGGCGAUGAAGGACGUACUAGACUGCGAUAAGCUACGGGGAGCUGUCAAGAAGCUUUGAUCCGUAGAUUUCCGAAUGGGGCAACCCAAUGUAUAGAGAUAUACAUUACCUAUAUAGGAGCGAACGAGGGGAAUUGAAACAUCUUAGUACCCUCAGGAAAAGAAAUCAAUAGAGAUUGCGUCAGUAGCGGCGAGCGAAAGCGCAAGAGGGCAAACCCAGUGCUUGCACUGGGGGUUGUAGGACUGCAAUGUGCAAGAGGUGAGUUUAGCAGAACAUUCUGGAAAGUAUAGCCAUAGAGGGUGAUAGUCCCGUAUGCGAAAAACAAACCUUAGCUAGCAGUAUCCUGAGUAGGGCGGGACACGAGAAAUCCUGUCUGAAGCUGGGUCGACCACGAUCCAACCCUAAAUACUAAUACCAGAUCGAUAGUGCACAAGUACCGUGAGGGAAAGGUGAAAAGAACUGAGGUGAUCAGAGUGAAAUAGAACCUGAAACCAUUUGCUUACAAUCAUUCAGAGCACUAUGUAGCAAUACAGUGUGAUGGACUGCCUUUUGCAUAAUGAGCCUGCGAGUUGUGGUGUCUGGCAAGGUUAAGCAAACGCGAAGCCGUAGCGAAAGCGAGUCUGAAUAGGGCGCUUAGUCAGAUGCUGCAGACCCGAAACGAAGUGAUCUAUCCAUGAGCAAGUUGAAGCUAGUGUAAGAACUAGUGGAGGACUGAACCCAUAGGCGUUGAAAAGCCCCGGGAUGACUUGUGGAUAGGGGUGAAAGGCCAAUCAAACUUCGUGAUAGCUGGUUCUCUCCGAAAUAUAUUUAGGUAUAGCGUUGUGUCGUAAUAUAAGGGGGUAGAGCACUGAAUGGGCUAGGGCAUACACCAAUGUACCAAACCCUAUCAAACUCCGAAUACCUUAUAUGUAAUCACAGCAGUCAGGCGGCGAGUGAUAAAAUCCGUCGUCAAGAGGGAAACAACCCAGACUACCAGCUAAGGUCCCUAAAUCUUACUUAAGUGGAAAACGAUGUGAAGUUACUUAAACAACCAGGAGGUUGGCUUAGAAGCAGCCAUCCUUUAAAGAAAGCGUAAUAGCUCACUGGUCUAGUGAUUUUGCGCGGAAAAUAUAACGGGGCUAAAGUA
rnacentral:rRNA from 2 species